GUGGACAAGCAGGACGCCUACAGGAUGCUGUCCCGGUUGAGUGGGAGAGAACACAGCGUGUUCACAGGUGUCGCGAUCGUCCACUGCUCCAGCAAAGACCAUCAGCUGCACACCAGGGUCUCGGAAUUCUACGAGGAAACGAAGGUGAAGUUCUCGGAGCUGUCCGAGGAGCUGCUCUGGGAAUACGUCCACAGCGGGGAGCCCAUGUGAGUCUCGUGGGCGGUGGGGGGACGGGGGACACGUGUGGAAGCCCGGCCACCCUCACACAUGGGGUGUCCCACCCAGCCUUUGGGAAAGAAGGAGGCCCUGCUCCGGGGGCCCGUGUGGCACAGGGAGAGCCGCCCGACUCAGAAGCACAAACCCUUCACGACCACCCUGACCCAUGGAGGCUCAAAGAGCCACACUCCCAGGACAGAGAGGGGCAGGUGGGAGCCCACGCUGGGCUGCGGUGGGGACUGGGGAGGCGCGGGGCAGGGGUAGAGAAGCUCACCUGUUGGGAGGAGGAGACCCCAGAGGUCUGUGCCCAGGACGCUGGCUGCAAUUAACACGAAUAAACUGUGUGAUCCAAAGUCA
rnacentral:sRNA from 1 species